rnacentral:rRNA from 1 species
CCCUUAGAUGUUCUGGGCGGCCCGCGCACUACAAUGGCGUGUGCAGCGAGUGCCGAAGUAGAGUUUUCCGAGGUAUUCUUGCAAUGCUCGUUUUGAUGGGGAUAGACCCUUGCAACUGUUGGUUUUGAACGAGGAAUUCCUUGUAAGCAUGGUUUAUCAUCCGACGCUGAAUGCGUCCCUGCCCUUUGUACACACCGCCCGUCGCUCCUACCGAUGAGUCGUCCGGUGAAGUUCGUAGACCUCGUGAUUGCGGAUCACUGGGGGAAGCAAAAUGAACCUCGCGGUUUAGAGGAAGGAGAAGUCGUAACA